rnacentral:snoRNA from 1 species
AAACCAUGAUGAGGACACUCUAAGAGAAGUUCCUUAAAACGUUCCAUACACCUAGAAAAUGAUUCACUGGGUUUUUGAUGAAACUGGAGAAUGUUGUUCCUAAGUUU